rnacentral:rRNA from 1 species
UACGUAGGUGGCAAGCGUUGUCCGGAAUUAUUGGGCGUAAAGCGCGCGCAGGUGGUUUCUUAAGUCUGAUGUGAAAGCCCACGGCUCAACCGUGGAGGGUCAUUGGAAACUGGGGAACUUGAGUGCAGGAGAGAAGAGUGGAAUUCCACGUGUAAGCGGUGAAAUGCGUAGAGAUGUGGAGGAACACCAGUGGCGAAGGCGACUCUUUGGCCUGUAACUGACACUGAGGCGCGAAAGCGUGGGGAGCAAACAGGA